UCCCGGCGGGGCUGCCGGGAGGGCGGCUUCGCUGAGCUCGGCUGGCUGGUCCGUGCCCAGCCGUGCUCGGGGGGAGCUGCUGCUCCGUCUUUGUGGCCUCGGCUGCGGAGGGCGGCGGUGCUGCGGUUCUCAGGGAGGCGAGCCCCGGCGCGGCGGCGGCAGCCAUGGGGCUGCAGCCCCUGGAGUUCAGCGACUGCUACCUGGACAGCCCCUGGUUCAGGGAGAGGGUGAGAGCCCACGAGGCCGAGCUGGAGAAGACCAAUAAGUUUAUCAAGGAGUUGCUGAAGGAUGGGAAGAACCUGAUCGCCGCGACCAAGAACCUCUCAGCAGCCCAGAGAAAAUUUGCCCACUCUCUCAGAGACUUUAAAUUUGAAUUCAUUGGUGAUGCAGAGACUGAUGAUGAGAGAUACAUAGAUGCAUCACUUCAUGAGUUUUCAAACUUUUUAAAAAAUCUUGAAGAACAAAGAGAAAUUUUGGCACUCAGUGUUACUGAAACUCUGAUCAAACCUUUGGAAAGAUUUAGGAAAGAGCAACUAGGAGCUGUAAAGGAGGAAAAGAAGAAGUUUGAUAAAGAGACAGAGAAAAACUACAGUUUGUUAGAAAAACAUUUGACUUUAUCAGCUAAGAAGAAAGAGCUACAAUUACAAGAGGCUGACAGCCAAGUGGAGCAGAACAGGAAGCACUUCUAUGAGCUGUCCCUUGAGUACGUGUGCAAGUUGCAGGAGAUACAGGAGCGGAAGAAAUUUGAGUGUGUGGAGCCUGUGCUAUCAUUUUUUCAGGGUUUAUUCACUUUCUAUCACCAGGGAUAUGAACUUGCUAAAGACUUCAAUCAUUACAAAACGACCCUGCAGAUAAAUAUACAAAAUACACGAAAUCGUUUUGAAGGAACAAGAUCAGAGGUAGAGGAGCUCAUGAACAAGAUCAGAAGAAAUCCUCAGGAGCAUAAAAGAGCAAAUCACUUCACGAUGGAAGGCUACCUCUAUGUACAGGAAAAAAGGCCGGCUCCCUUUGGUUCCAGUUGGGUGAAGCACUAUUGCAUGUACAGGAAAGAGACAAAGAAGUUCUCCAUGAUCCCAUUUGAACACAGAUCAGGAGGGAAAGUUGGUGAUGCGGAACUCUUUGUCCUUACGUAUUGUACCAAAAGAAAUACAGAUACAAUAGACAGGCGAUUCUGUUUUGACUUAGAAGCUUCAGACAGGCCUGGCGUUCCUGUGACCAUGCAGGCAUUUUCUGAAGAAGACAGGAAGCUGUGGAUGGAAGCCUUGGAUGGAAAAGAAGCUCUGCUCAUCAACUUGAAUAGAGCGAAUCCAAAACAAGAGGGAAGUGCACAGUUGGAUAAGAUAGGGUUCACCAUCAUCAAAAAGUGCAUCAGUGCUGUUGAAACACGAGGUAUAAAUGACCAAGGAUUGUACAGAGUUGUGGGGGUGAGUUCAAAGGUCCAGAGACUUCUGAGUUUGUUGAUGGAUUCAAAAACCUGCAAUGAAGUUGACCUGGAAAACUCUGUAGAUUGGGAAGUGAAGACAAUUACUAGUGCUAUGAAGCAGUAUCUGCGAAGCCUUCCAGAGCCACUGAUGACGUACGAGUUGCAUGGAGAAUUCAUCCUUCCUGCCAAAAGUGGGAGUCCUGAAUCUCGAGUCAGUGCUGUUCACUUCUUGGUCCACAAACUCCCAGAAAAGAACAAGGAGAUGCUGGAAAUUUUGGUGAAACAUUUAGCGAAUGUUUCAAAGCAUGCCAAGAGGAAUCUAAUGACUGUGGCAAACCUAGGAGUAGUAUUUGGACCAACCUUAAUGAGGCCACAGGAAGAAACUGUAGCAGCCAUCAUGGACCUGAAGUUUCAGAAUAUUGUCGUUGAAAUCCUGAUAGAAAAUCAUGAAAAGAUUUUCAAAACCCUGCCUGAUGCUACUUUCCCUGAGCCAAUCUCUAUGUCAGUAUCUCCUCCAAAUGCCCCACCAAGGCAGUCAAGAAGACAAGGACAGCGUAUUAAGAGGCCUCUGGCUGUUUACAAUCUCUGCCUGGAGUUGGAAGAUGCUGACAGUCACAGCUCUCCCAGAGAAGACACCCCAACUGGGAGCAUGGAUUCUCUUUCUUCCCAGUCCCCGACACCUGCCUUCUCCAGCAGCCCCCCUGGGCUCUUGGAUGGAAAUCACCUUAUCAUGGACAGCGGAGAUCUUGCAGGCUGGACAACAAACCUUCCAGCUCAGAGCCGCCCGUCAAUGGUCUCAUGGAUGAAUAUUCCAUCUGCUAACCCGGCUGCCACAAAUGCUGCACUACCCACUUUCUUCUUCCCCAACCCUGCCUCUGGCACUGACAGAGCAGUGGAAAGUGUUGCCCACCGAAAAGCAAGAGCAGUUUAUCCAUGUGAAGCAGAACACAGCUCUGAAUUGUCAUUUCAGAUAGGAGCAAUAUUUGAAGAUGAUGUUGAUAGCAGUGGUUCUCUCUCACCUGUCAUUACUCUGGAUGAAUCUUUCUGGCUGCUCCAGCCUCAGACAGGAUAAUGGCAUUUAGGGAAGUAGUCUUGCACCUGUCAUAGCUGCCAAAUGUAAUAUUGGUGCAAGAAGUGCAAUUUUCCAGAGAGCCAGGAUGGCUAGAAGGCACGUUAAAUGGCAAGAGAGGACUAAUUCCACAAAAUUAUGUUCAGUUUUUAUAGCUUUGUGCAUUGAACGCCAAGAAGGUGUACAUGGUAUCCAUGGAUUUUUGUUCUAGUCACUUGUCUCUACUUCUGUGACUGCUUUUAAUCAGUGAAGAGCUGGACUACGGAUUGAAGAUCUUAAAUCUGUAUAAAGACAUUAAGUGUUGCCAAACAUGAAUUACAAAGAAAGAUUCUUUGGGGGUUGGAAUGGAUGGGGGCAAGAAAGAGGAAUGGAGGGAUAGCUCAAUUUUUUAAUAGGUUGCUUGUUUUUUCAGUUGUAAAGAGCAGUAGUAGUAUGUUUGUUUGCAAGAUAAAUAGCUUUUGAAGUCAAGUAUUUGGUUGAUCUGUGAAUCAACUUAGUGUCCUGGAGAUUAUGCUUUGAUAACCAGCAUUUUUAACAGAAUGUGAGGAUGAUGAGGCCCUGGCACAGGUUGCCCAGAGCAGCUGUGGCUGCCCGUCCCUGGAAGUGUUCAAGGACAGGUUGGAUGAGGCUCUGACCAGCCUGGUAUAGUGGAAGGUGUCCCUGCCCAUGGCAGGGGAUUGGAACUACAUGAUCUUUAAGGUCCCUCCCUACCCAAUCCAUUCUAUGAUUCUAUGAUCAUUUUAGGUUUGGAAGAUACUGAUGGAUAAAAAAAGCUAUCAUGCUGACAAUUAAAUUAUAUUUCAGAGUGGAAUAGCCAGUGCAGAACAGACAUCAGUAAGUAAAAAUAAUAGUUACCAAGACAUGACAUUUUUCAAAUGUCUUCAAAGAGCACAUUCAUUUAUGUUGCGUGUAUGAUUUCAUUUAUUUUAUAAAGAUAAGACACAUGAACUUUUAUUACAGGCUCCUAUAUGUCAUGGUUCCUUUGCUACUCAAAAAUAUCACUGUAAAUGAAAUAAAAUGUUAUUUGUUAUUUGACUUGUCAUUCCUAUGUUGCAGAGUAUUUUGCUCUGGUUCUGGAAGCUGUGGCAUGAAAUAAUUAUUGGCAGCUCUGUGCAGUCAGCCUCAAGCAAGCUCCAAAAGGGAUGGGGAGCUUUCCUCACACAAAAUGGACAGCUCUGGAAGUUCAAGCCAAAUGGGAAAAGAGAAUCUCUGGCUAUGAUGCUUUUGCGUCCUGGAGAAUUCCUGCAUUUUAUCUCUUGUCUCUUUUAUCUGCUUGCUCACCUUGCCUGUC